rnacentral:lncRNA from 1 species
GCCUUCUCAUCUCGAAAAGAAACUUCAGUAGAAUGCUGGUACGCCUACCCAUGAUGCCUUAAACAAACUCAUGUCUCCAAUUUGUGCAAUUUCAGUCUGCUCUUAAACUAUGAGUGACAGUUUGUUCUUGAAAAGUAAAUUCACUAAGUCAGCUACAUAUGACAUGCUCUGAAAACUAGGAUGUAGCGUCAUGCAUGGUGUUUAAUUUAUUGUAGAGUUGCACUACAUGAUUGUACAAUCUAUUAUCUGCUCCUUAAUUUCCAUGUCUAUCCUGUGUGAUGGAUCCAGGUUGGAUUUUACGUGUAUCUUUCUAAUUGCUCAAGAUGCAUAUUGUUAAAUACAUCAAUAUGGUUUUCCCACCAGUUGGCCAUUUAUGCUCUCUCUGUAUCCACCUUUGCAUAGCAUUAGAUAAGGAUCCAGAUUUUUGCUGUCGAGGUUGUGCCUAUUAGUUAUGUACAAUGAGCAAUUACUCUGCUCUUGAUACAUACCUAUUCUUGUGAGUGUCAAUAUUAUCUCUUUUAUGUAACUUUUGGUCCACACUUUGGUAUCCACUACCAUGAGAACUAGGAAUAUGCUUGCUUGCAGUUUGUGUACUGCCCGCAAUUCUAGAAGAGGGAGAAGUUGCACGAACGCGGCAAGGCAACCAGUACGGCGUGGCUACGGGCGAAGCUGGGUGGCACAGCGGUGUCGUUGAUCGCGGAUGUGUCCGGUGGAGAGCCGAGGUAUGGCAUGCAGCUGCUUGCGGCGCGGCCAUACGCCUACCUGGAUAGUUGGCUGUCAAGCAUGGGUUGGGCGUGGCGGCGCACUUGGCAAAAUCAUGAAGAUUUUUCUUAUUGGUCCUCCAAUUAUUCUCUGCACUAAAGAAUCAUGCUCAUCUGUUGUAGGUCAGUUUUGUUAUUUUCUCCAGCAAUGCCGCUUUACAUUGAUGGUUCAUGUGUUCAAAGUUUGGAUGGCUGAAGCUUGUUGCAAUAUUGUGUUAUCACCCGUUCAAAGCUUGGUUUGGUCUUGAUUGUACAAUGGCAGUUAUUAUCUAUACAAUCUUCUUCGCAAGGCUAGCCUUCUUCCACUGUUCAAGGGUUCGAAAAUCACCUUACACUUUAAAAGCCUAAAAGGUGUAUUAUGGCAUGAAACCUCAAAAGCUAUUUACCAGUUUAACAACUAUACUAUCCUGCUAAUUUCACAGCUUCAGUUUCAUCAGUCGUCACAUGAACAUAUACACUAUUUUGCUUUGGCUAGAUCUGGAUUGGUUAGUUGACCAUUUAAGUACGCUUUUGGAUCUUUCUUAUCUCUUUUAUUUCUCAUGGGUUAUGCAACAUGCACAUUGGUGUCACAUUUUUUAGAUGUGAUCCUAAUAUGUUACUCCCUUCGUAAAGAAAUAUAAGAACGUUUAGAUCACUACUUUAGUGAUCUAAACACUCUUAUAUUUCUUUGUAGAGGGAGUACCUUAUAAUCCCUUUUGUGACCAGUCAGUUCAGUCUGAUGGAUGUUUCAUUUGUCUUAGAAUUACAAGGAAAAGGAGUACUUUUAUUUGGUAGAUAUUAUUUCAGAAUCUUGUUGGCUGAAGAAUUCAGUUGAAAAGGUAUGUCAUUUAGCUCUUAUUCUACUUCCCACUGUUUGUGUUUAUUGUUCUUUUUUGCCGGUGCGAACAUGGAUACAGAGCAUUUGUAUGUGCCAAGCAUUGUGUAAAUAUUGUGGCCAAUUUGUCAUACGUUUGGCAAAUAACAAAGCGGAACAAAGCUAUUAGUCUUUGCAAGUUGUAGUGCAAAGAAAUCUUUGCACCUGGUCACAUGGUUAGGAUAUGUCUACUCCUAGCGAUACUUCAAAUAAAAUCUAGACACCAGUGACUACAGGCUGUGAUUAAUUUGAGCAGAGGAAGCUGGGGAGCAGGACUAAAGUUGUUCUUAUUGUGGUCCCAGCUGCAACAUACUUAACAUGAAGUUGGUACAUGUUGAAGGAAAUCUGGGAUUAUUGUUCGUUUAUAUCAAAAUUGUUGCUUCCUAAUAUACAUGCUUGAUAGCUUAUCUGAGGCCUCAUAAUUUCUGGUGUACAUCUAGAUGUCCAACGUUUUGAAGUGCACACAAAAAUCAUAUUGCAUUACAUUGAACAGUCCACCACAAACUACACUCUUAUUAGGUGAUAAGUUAUAACCCAGAACCAUAGUACCGC